UACGAAGGGGGCUAGCGUUGCUCGGAAUGACUGGGCGUAAAGGGCGCGUAGGCGGAUGACACAGUCAGAUGUGAAAUUCCCGGGCUUAACCUGGGGGCUGCAUUUGAUACGUGUUGUCUAGAGUGAGGAAGAGGGUUGUGGAAUUCCCAGUGUAGAGGUGAAAUUCGUAGAUAUUGGGAAGAACACCGGUGGCGAAGGCGGCAACCUGGUCCUUGACUGACGCUGAGGCGCGAAAGCGUGGGGAGCAAACAGGG
rnacentral:rRNA from 1 species